rnacentral:rRNA from 1 species
AUACCACUCUGGUCGUUCUGGAUAUCUAACCUCGGUCCGUGAUCCGGAUCAGGGACAGUGCCUGGUGGGUAGUUUAACUGGGGCGGUUGCCUCCUAAAAGGUAACGGAGGCGCCCAAAGGUUCCCUCAGCCUGGUUGGCAAUCAGGUUUUGAGUGUAAGUGCACAAGGGAGCUUGACUGUGAGACAGGCAUGUCGAGCAGGGACGAAAGUCGGGACUAGUGAUCCGGCGGUGGCUUGUGGAAGCGCCGUCGCUCAACGGAUAAAAGGUACCCCGGGGAUAACAGGCUGAUCUUGCCCAAGAGUCCAUAUCGACGGCAUGGUUUGGCACCUCGAUGUCGGCUCGUCGCAUCCUGGGGCUGGAGUAGGUCCCAAGGGUUGGGCUGUUCGCCCAUUAAAGCGGUACGCGAGCUGGGUUUAGAACGUCGUGAGACAGUUCGGUCCCUAUCCGCUGUGCGCGUAGGAAACUUGAGAAGAGCUGUCCCUAGUACGAGAGGACCGGGAUGGACGAACCUCUGGUGUGUCAGUUGUUCUGCCAAGAGCACGGCUGAUUAGCUACGUUCGGAAGUGAUAACCGCUGAAAGCAUCUAAGCGGGAAGCACGCUUCAAGAUGAGGUUUCCAUGGGCUUCGGCCCGAGAGGCUCCCAGCUAGACUACUGGGUUGAUAGGCCAGACGUGGAAGCACAGUAAUGUGUGUAGCUGACUGGUACUAAUAAGCCGAUAACUUGACACAACAAAG